rnacentral:rRNA from 1 species
AUGGCUUCAGGUAUUAUUAUUGGGUUGUGUGCUGGCUUCGGCAUUCUAGCUCUGAGUUUUAGUGCAACAUUUCUCAUUCGUAGAUGGAAUAGAAAUGUUCAACGGCAACUACGGAAGAAUUGAUUCCAGAGGAACCAUGGUCUUCUCCUUGAAACGUUGAUAUCAUCUGAUGAAAGUGCAAAUGACAAAGCAAAGAUUUUCUCGUUACAAGAGCUAGAAAAAGCAAUAGACAACUUUGAUAGGGCACGCAUCAUUGGGAGUGGGGGCCAUGGCACGGUUUAUAAAGGCAUAUUAUCUGAUCAACGUGUGGUUGCAAUAAAAAGGCCUAAGGUCAUUGAGCAGGCAGGGAUCACUCAAUUCAUCAAUGAGGUCGCAAUCCUCUCGCAAAUAAACCAUAGAAACAUUGUAAAGCUCUUUGGCUGUUGUCUAGAAACUGAGGUUCCACUGCUCGUCUAUGAACAUAUGUCUGGUGGCUCACUGUCUCAAUUCCUCCAUGCGGACUCAAGCAAUAGUUUUUCUUUGUCCUGGGAUGAUUACUUAAGGAUUUCCAUGGAAACAGCAGGAGCACUAUCUUAUCUCCACUCCGCGGCUUCAAUGUCAAUCUUCCAUUGUGACGUGAAAUCGUCAAAUAUACUCCUGGACGGGAAAUACACAGCUAAAGUUUCAGAUUUUGGUGCUUCUAGAUUGGUUCCAAUCAACCAAACGCACAUUGUUACGAAUGUGCAAGGUACAUUUGGGUACUUAGAUCCAGAGUAUUUUCAUACCAGACAGUUAAAUGAGAAGAGUGAUGUGUAUAGUUUUGGUGUGGUACUAGUGGAGUUGCUUGUUCGAAUGAAGCCUAUCAUCACAAGUGAAUCAGGCACAAUGCAGAAUUUAUCAAACUACUUCCUAAGGGAGUUGAGCGAGGGAGGGAUCGCCGAUAUACUGAAUUCUCAAGUCCUUGAGGAAGCAACUGAGGAAGAGAUUAUCAAUGUCGCCACUCUCGCGGAACGGUGCUUAAGACUGCAUGGUGAAGAAAGACCCACCAUGAAACAAGUUGAGGUUGAGUUGCAGACUUUACGAACAACUAGAGCAAGCUCAUGUCAAGAUCCAAGCAAUGAA